GGGUCAGUAGGUUGGUCGUGCCACCGGUACGUACUGGUCUCACUGAUUCCUCCUUCCUGAAGAGCCGUAAUGCUAUUAAUUUGGUGUUGCGGGGAAACAGGACUGUUACUUUGAAAAAAUUAGAGUGUUUAAAGCAAGCUAACGCUUGAGUACAUUAGCAUGGAAUAAUGAAAUAGGACGAUCGAUCCUAUUUUGUUGGUUUCUAGGAUUGACGUA
rnacentral:rRNA from 1 species